UGCAGCGACGCCGCGUGAGGGAUGACGGCCUUCGGGUUGUAAACCUCUUUCAGCAGGGACGAAGCGCAAGUGACGGUACCUGCAGAAGAAGCACCGGCUAACUACGUGCCAGCAGCCGCGGUAAGACGUAGGGUGCGAGCGUUGUCCGGAUUUAUUGGGCGUAAAGAGCUCGUAGGCGGCUUGUCGCGUCGACCGUGAAAACUUGGGGCUCAACCCCAAGCCUGCGGUCGAUACGGGCAGGCUAGAGUUCGGUAGGGGAGACUGGAAUUCCUGGUGUAGCGGUGAAAUGCGCAGAUAUCAGGAGGAACACCGGUGGCGAAGGCGGGUCUCUGGGCCGAUACUGACGCUGAGGAGCGAAAGCGUGGGGAGCGAACAGGAUUAGAUACCCUGGUAGUCCACGCUGUAAACGUUGGGCGCUAGAUGUGGGGGGCCUCUCCGGUUCUCUGUGCCGCAGCUAACGCAUUAAGCGCCCCGCCUGGGGAGUACGGCCGCAAGGCUAAAACUCAAAGGAAUUGACGGGGGCCCGCACAAGCGGCGGAGCAUGCGGAUUAAUUCGAUGCAACGCGAAGAACCUUACCAAGGGCUUUGACAUAUACCGCAAAAGCUUCUAGAGAUGGAGAGGUCCUUC
rnacentral:rRNA from 1 species